rnacentral:rRNA from 1 species
UACGUAGGGUGCGAGCGUUGUCCGGAAUUACUGGGCGUAAAGAGCUUGUAGGUGGUUUGUCGCGUUGUUCGUGAAAUCUCACGGCUCAACUGUGAGCGUGCGGGCGAUACGGGCAGACUAGAGUACUGCAGGGGAGACUGGAAUUCCUGGUGUAGCGGUGGAAUGCGCAGAUAUCAGGAGGAACACCGGUGGCGAAGGCGGGUCUCUGGGCAGUAACUGACGCUGGAGAAAGCGAAAGCCGUGGGGAGCGAACAGG